rnacentral:rRNA from 1 species
GAUGAACGCUGGCGGCGUGCCUAAUACAUGCAAGUCGAGCGAACAGACGAGGAGCUUGCUCCUCUGACGUUAGCGGCGGACGGGUGAGUAACACGUGGAUAACCUACCUAUAAGACUGGGAUAACUUCGGGAAACCGGAGCUAAUACCGGAUAAUAUAUUGAACCGCAUGGUUCAAUAGUGAAAGACGGUUUUGCUGUCACUUAUAGAUGGAUCCGCGCCGCAUUAGCUAGUUGGUAAGGUAACGGCUUACCAAGGCGACGAUGCGUAGCCGACCUGAGAGGGUGAUCCGCCACACUGGAACUGAGACACGGUCCAAACUCCUACGGGAGGCAGCAGUAGGGAAUCUUCCGCAAUGGGCGAAAGCCUGACGGAGCAACGCCGCGUGAGUGAUGAAGGUCUUCGGAUCGUAAAACUCUGUUAUUAGGGAAGAACAAAUGUGUAAGUAACUAUGCACGUCUUGACGGUACCUAAUCAGAAAGCCACGGCUAACUACGUG